rfam:Arabidopsis thaliana chromosome 5, complete sequence.
GUGUAGCCGAAGUCCGUACGAGUCUUUGUCUUUGUAUCUUCUAACAAGGACACAAUACUUAGGCUUUUAAGAUCUGGUUGCGA